rnacentral:lncRNA from 1 species
AAGGUAAAAGGAAUGGAUAAACUUCGACUCAUAUGGCUUGUUCUACUACUUGUUGAAUCAUACACAAAGGCAUGUUUUAUAACAUCGAGUUACCAAUGUGUUUUCGUGCAAUCAAUGUAUAACCAACUCAUAGUAACAACUCAUAUCUCUAGGUUUGAAGAAUAUAAGAUAUUAUCAUCUUAUGAUCACUCGUGAUAAAAUCCAUGAAGCGAUUCCAAUGAGCGUGGGUUGAAUCCAAUACUCAUAACUUAUGAGUACUCUUGAAUGUUGUAGCACCGCUUGCUAUGUCCCAUACCUUGGACAUCUCAAAUCCAGCUUCAUGACAGUCUUGAUUCAUAUCUACUUACAACAUAUGACCGACUGUGGAUGGUUUGAAUAACUUAGUCAUUCAGAAAGAACGACCUAGUUAUUCUGGAAGUCAAAACAUGCAAAGUGAAACACAAGAAUAAUCGAAUCCAAUAUGAUCUCAGAACUUAUGAAUAUAAAUAAAACACCUUUUAUUUAUCACCAUAUUGAUUACCCAUCAUUCAUCGCAUAUUGUUUCAAACUAUCAACUUUAUACUUGAAUUAAAACAAUAGUUGUCCCAUGCUCCAAGCAUGUACACUAUGUUUACUAAACACUAGUCAUGCCAUACACCAAGUAUGCACACUAUGUUUGUCUAUGAUCUUUACUUUGUGAAAUAGAUGGAUUGAACAUAAUUCCAAUGAUUCUCAUUUCACAAUCCCAAAUCCUUACCGCAAAUGCAAGAAUUCCAAAUUCCUGUUAUUCACCUAAAUCUUGUUAGAUUCUAAACUUAUAUGCAUUAAUCCUCUUAUAAUGAUUAUGCACAAAGUCACAAAGACUUGUUAACAGACAUUACAAAGUAUUCCAAUGGAGAUCAUUCCAUGGAAACGAAGUCUCAUAUUCAAAGUACAUUGCUUUGAACAUCCAUCUUGCAUUAAGUUUCCUAAUCUUACAUAGAUUUAAUGAAUAACUUCCACCUAUAGGAAUAUUUCCAUAUUCUCAUUUUGAAUAUCACUUCUGAACAAGAGUUGCCUCUUUUCAGAAUAUGUCAAUAAGGUCCUCUCCAAAAAUUACCCCAUACUUCUAAUUGUCCUUGAGCAACCAAUCUUUGGUAAAUCUUAGAUUGUCCUCAACAAUUGCUUAAUCAAAUUAGUCAUAUCGAGUUCUAGUACUUCUCCCUCUUAAUGCUCUAGGCAUUUGGGAAAAUUUAGAACAGAUGAGUAUCAUAGCACAUGCAAUCGAUCCUAUAUCUGAAGCGUAUGGGACACGAUUCAUGAUGUCUCACAUAAAGUACUAGACCAGUCUUUUGCUAUAAUAUUUCUAUUUCUAUUUGCCAAGUUCUCAUAAUUCAGAUUAUAAAAAGGGAUGCCAUAAUCAUAAUCGAAUUUUAGAACGCAAAUAAUGGACUCAUAUAUAGAAUUUCCUUAUGUUACACAUGUGUAUCUAAACAAUUUCAGAACUAUGAAAAGGGAUGUCGUAAUCAUAGUCUCAAUUGUUUAGACCUUUGUCAUUCCUCGCAAGUCCAUAUUAGUGUGUCGGUUACCCACACACUCUCCACUAACGACUUUGUGAAUGCAAAUAUCACACUUGUUAUUUACCUUAAAUCUACUUAGUGAAAGCGUUUCAUCACCAUCAUUUUCAUGAAUCGGAGAGAAACCUUAUGAAACUUAGAUUUUAUGGUGUAUGUGUUCUUAUCCAUGUGAAUUUGUCAAAACCAUAAUCACAAGACAAGGAUAAUGGAAAAUCUAAACUCAUAUGGACUCAACUCAAUCUUAAUUUCCUGCCACCUAGCAGCACAAGGGCCUGCCAUUGCUUCCAAGUUGUUAUGCAACCAAUUGAGAACUUUCAUAACUCGUAUGAAAAGCCAACUUUAACUGGAAUGGGCACAAAAAUAGAAAUAUGUCAACACGAUAAGUUAUAAACCUCACCUCGUGUGCUAGUGUCAAACUACAGGUUUUAUUCUUGAUUAGAUCUCGAAGUUUUUCAAGAUCUUUAAGACUCCAACUGUAAUAGCUCUAGAAGUGAUAUACAAUUUUGAGUGCUUGUAAUAGCUCUAGAAAGUUAAUAAAAUCCUUUAUAUCCCUCUCUCUCUCUCUCUCUCUCUCUCUUUUGUUCACCCAUGGACGUAGAUCGCCUUGAUCGAACCAUGUUAAUUAUUAUGUUCUUUUGAUUUACAUUUUUUAGAAGUUUUAUUUUUGCGAGUUUCAUCGAAAUCUGUUUGACACUUUCCUAAAUUGCUUAACUUCUUUUGCUAUCACCCAAAAACGAUAAAAGGGUUAAUGUGGUUGCCCUUAUUGGGGGUAUAGUUAAUACUAAAAAAAGGAGUUGUUGGGAAUAGGUAUAUGGUGUUGAGUUGGUAUGGAGUUUUGAUAGUCUGGAAAGUAUAAGGCGGUGGCGGGUUAAAAGAUAUCUAUUUGGAACCUAUGUUUAAAUUUGGUAUGUAGUUUCCCUGAAUGAUUGAUCCGACCUAAUGGUAUGUUCAUGGCCGGCGUCACCUGAAUAGAGAGGUGGGUUAUGAAUAAUGUCCCUCCAAAUUGUUUGGCAUGAGAGGAAGAUAAAGCCAAAAAUUGGUGUUGUAGUUGUCUCAUUCCCAUAUAGGGUCUUGCAACUAGAAAUUUCAUAUUAUUGAUACAAAACUAGUUUGAGAUUUGGGACACUCCUUUGAGUCCAAUGAACAAGGGGACAACAUGGGUUGGGUACUGUUGUGUUUUGAUCAUUCUAACACUCCUAAGUGUACAUGCAACCCUAAAUACCUUGGAUCUAUGUUUUCUCGAUUAUACAUGCAAAUAUGAAUAUUCCAAGGUGUUAUCCUAACUAGCAUACAAAACAUUGAUUCAUAUGGAAUAAUAUAAGUUAGAAGACAUACCUUUUGAUGUAGCUUGAUUCCAUGGAGCUUAAGAGCCUAGUGCCCCAGUUGUGACACCUCAAAUGGUUCACACAACACUAAAUACACUUAGAAUAACUUGAAAGAAAUGAGACACUUCAUGAAAUCAGCUAGCCCUCACCAUUCCUUCAUAGUGGACGAUUUUGGGAAGAAUAAGAUGCUUAUAUAGUGUGUCACAAUUAGGGUUACACCAUGUUAACCCUAAUUUUCAUGGCCUUUCAUUUCCAUGAUCCAUGGGCACAAAAACACCAUGGAGCAUCCUAUGGGUUUUAGCCCAACUUGAUAAUCCAUGGAGCAUUAGCCCAUUAUACAAGUAUGGAUGAUUUACACAAUCAAUCCAUAUAUUUAAUUAGUCUCCUUUUGGUCACUUAAUUAAUUCCAAAUUAAUUAUUGAUCAAUACUAAUUAUAUAAUCUUAUUAAUAUAUUAGAACUUAUAAUAUAUUAAUAAACCUUAAGUGUUAUCUCUCUCAAUUUAGUCUAUCCAAAUGCAUGAUGUCAUGCAACCCAAAUGGACCAUGCCAUGGGGCAAGUACAUACCAAAUAUAGUUAUGGACUUAGACACUAAUCCAACAGUCUCCCACUUGGAUAAGUCUAAAACUAUUAUUGCGUUUGACUUCAAAACCCGACUAGUAAUCGUAGCUCUUAAAAGUUAUUGUCGUCGAACUCUGAACAAAUCAAUGACGCGUCCAUCAUAUAAGGGAUCAUAUAUUCCUUCAUUCUAGAUAUCAUAUGGACAAGACAUGGAUUAAAAUCAUUCUGUCCAUUUGUUAUUUCCCGAUUUCCGAUUUAUGACGACUGAUUGAUUGAACAAAUCAAAUCAGUCCUGGCUUGGCCAAGCACUCACAAGUGUCAUCAUUAAAGCAUCGAGGGGCCCACAGAUAUGGCUUUUAUCCCUUUAAGGGUAAAAGGAAUGGAUAAACUUCGACUCAUAUGGCUAGUUCUACUACUUUUUGAAUCAUACACAAAGGCAUGUUUUAUAACAUCGAGUUACCAAUGUGUUUUCGUGCAAUCAAUGUAUAACCAACUCAUAGUAACAACUCAUAUCUCUAGGUUUGAAGAAUAUAAGAUAUUAUCAUCUCAUGAUCACUCGUGAUAAAAUCCAUGAAUCAAUUCCAAUGAGCGUAGGUUGAAUCCAAUACUCAUAACUUAUGAGUACUCUUGAAUGUUGUAGCACCGCUUGCUAUGUCCC